UUAUUGAUUGUGUAAAUAUAUGCUUCUUCUUUGGUUGUUGCUGCUGUUUAAUUUUUCCACAAAUUUGCUGUGUUCAUUGCAUCAAAUAUUCGUGGAUAUGAAAUGGGUGUGCUGCUAUGGAAGUAUUUCUAACUUUUCUUUUUAGACGAAGUAAGAUUUCUUUUCUACUUAUGUAUGUAUGCAUGCAUGUAUAUAAAUUGAUUGUUCUAUUGACAUCUUGGAAAUUUUGAAACAUGUUAAAUUGAUUUUCUUUUAUAAAGAGAACUAAUUGUACUUUCCUGCUACAUUUCUGUAACAAAUUCUGUGGUUAUCUUAAGUUUCUAAUCUGUAUAUAUGUGUAAAUGUGUGUGUUGAUGGUGUGAAGAUGUUAUCCAUUCGUUGGUAGGCUUAUCUAGAUCACGAUCUUAGCAGUUGGAUUGUUCAGUAUAUGAGUUUUAGUAUUGUUUGGAUUGGUGGGUAUGAUUUAAACUUUGAUAAAUUUGUUUGAAUUUUGCAAAAUUGAUAUGUUUAGUGACCUUUUCUUUGGCAAUUUUGUUGUGUCCAAUUCGUUAAAUUGCCACAAAAAUGAAAUUUUUGGGAAUUCUUCUGAAUUAUUGUUCAUUUGGUCAAUUGGGUCAGUGUUGUUUUGGUGAAUUUUGGUUUGAAUUUGUGAUUUGGUUUUUCAUUGGAGGGGUUUGAAUUCAAUUCCUUGGAAAAUGGGGGUUAUGUUGGGGAGGGUUUUGCCCAUUUGUGGUAAAGUAUGUUUCUUCUAUCCUUCCCUGCGGGCAAGGUUGAGACAGCCUGUGAAGCGAGGUCAGUUGGCGUGACUUUUUGCAAUUCUUGUGCUUCUGUAUGUUGAGGAUGAUUACUUCAAAGUAUUCUAUCAGGUACAUUGUUAUUGA